AGAACGAACGCUGGCGGCAGGCUUAACACAUGCAAGUCGAACGCUCGUAGCAAUACGGGAGUGGCAGACGGGUGAGUAACGCGUGGGAACAUACCCUCCGGUUCGGAAUAGCUCAGGGAAACUUGGAUUAAUACCGGAUACGGCUGAGAGGCGAAAGAUUUAUCGCCGGAGGAUUGGCCCGCGUUCGAUUAGCUUGUUGGUGAGGUAACGGCUCACCAAGGCGAUGAUCGAUAGCUGGUCUGAGAGGAUGAUCAGCCACAUUGGGACUGAGACACGGCCCAAACUCCUACGGGAGGCAGCAGUGGGGAAUAUUGGACAAUGGGCGCAAGCCUGAUCCAGCCAUGCCGCGUGAGUGAUGACGGCCUUAGGGUUGUAAAGCUCUUUCGCUCGGGACGAUAAUGACGGUACCGAGAUAAGAGCCCCGGCUAACUUCGCGCCAGCAGCCGC
rnacentral:rRNA from 1 species